AGUUUUGCGCAGUGGCAGUAUCACAGCCAAUGAGGUUUAUCCAAGGCGCGAUUAUUGGUAAUUGAAAACUAAAAUAGUACAACACU
rnacentral:snRNA from 1 species